rnacentral:rRNA from 1 species
GACGAACGCUGGCGGCGUGCUUAACACAUGCAAGUCGAACGGAGUGGCGAACGGGUGAGUAACACGUUGGUGACCUGCCCUGCACUUCGGGAUAAGCCUUGGAAACUGGGUCUAAUACCGGAUAGUGUGGGAUGGGCGCGUGGCCUAUCAGCUUGUUGGUGGGGUAAUGGCCUACCAAGGCGGCGACGGGUAGCCGGCCUGAGAGGGUGGACGGCCACAUUGGGACUGAGGCACGGCGCAGACUCCUACGGGAGGCAGCAGGGGGGAAUAUUGCACAACGAGCGGACGCCUGAUGAAGCGGCGCCGCGUGGGGGAUGACGUCCUUCGGGUUGUAAACUCCUUUCACCAUCGACGCGGUAGAUGGAGAAGAAGCACCGGCUAACUACGUGCCAGCAGCCGCGGUAAUAC